AUAUUCUAUGUAUUCUCUCAUCCACUAAAAGAAUCUGUUCUUAUCAGCUUAAUAUCUGUUACGUCCUGCAUCACAGGACAAGAAUAUGAAGCUCACUUUUGGCUCGUGACGGAGUGCUAAGAGCAUGGUCUACCUCUCUGUUACAGGAUGCCGCUUAACUUCCAAACACCCUUAAGGUAUUCAAAUGGCU